rnacentral:rRNA from 1 species
GACGAACGCUGGCGGCGUGCCUAAUACAUGCAAGUAGAACGCUGAAGGAGGAGCUUGCUUCUCUGGAUGAGUUGCGAACGGGUGAGUAACGCGUAGGUAACCUGCCUGGUAGCGGGGGAUAACUAUUGGAAACGAUAGCUAAUACCGCAUAAGAGUAGAUGUUGCAUGAUAUUUGCUUAAAAGGUGCAAUUGCAUCACUACCAGAUGGACCUGCGUUGUAUUAGCUAGUUGGUGAGGUAACGGCUCACCAAGGCAACGAUACAUAGCCGACCUGAGAGGGGGAUCGGCCACACUGGGGAGAGGACACGCCCCGACCUCCGAGGGGAGGAGGAAGUGGGGAUUGUGGGGCAAUGGACGAAAGUCGGACGGAGCACGGCGGGGUGAGUGAAGAGGUUGUGGGGAUGUAAAAGCCUUGUUGAAAGAAAAGAAGGGGUGGGGGAGGGAAAAGUCCCCCCUGGGAGGGUUUCUAACAAGAAGGGGCCGCCAAAUUCCGGC